AAAAUAUCAAAUUCAAUGAUAUUGAUGCUACCAAAAAUCGUACCUAUUGAUUUCUCGAGCUUGAGGAUUUUGAAUGAGCACGAUGGUAGUCUUCCGAUUCUUGAAACAAAGGCAACGAGGUGUGUUCUCGUCGCUCCUCCGAUGCUUAAGUCAGAAAGGGAAUUAUAUACGCGAGGCUAUAAACUGGAGAAUAAUGAGAACGUACCUGAAUAAUGACCCAUGGUUCUGUAUUUAUGGUGAUGGGUGACAUUCUCCUAGUAGGACUCAACGAUCUAGGAAUCCUUAUCCGAUAGAGUCCCAUGAGAAAGCAACGUUUGAAUCCUACUGUGAUUAGGAGACCAAUUAUUAAGAGGACUCUCUUGGAUUUAGUAGAUGUGGUUUGAGGUAUUUGUGUCAGAUAAGAGUUCUCAAGGGACAGACCUUCUCCAUAGUACGGGGAGGAUGGUAGGUGAGGACCUCAAGGGAUUUUCUUGAGGUCUUAUUCUCGAGGACAUCCCGUAUUUUGUGAUAGUUAGUUGAACAUCAAGGUCGGGAAGAGGAUGUCCCGAGGACUUGGUGAAUCCCGAGCUUUAAUGACCGGGUAACGUAAAAGUAGGUUACCUAUAGUCAUCGGGAUUAUAUCGUGCUCGGGUUAUGCAAGGAAUGACAGUAUCACUGGCCCUCGUACACCUAUGCUCAAAGCUUUCGCUCGAGGAUAUGGUGCAAAUAGGUUCGAAGGUGACUAGUGUGCAAAUGCUCAGGUGGUUUUGAAGAUAGGUGUUUAAAAGCUGACGUCCUGAUGACAUUAGCCCUAAACAAGUAAGGCAGUGGAAAGCUUGAGCCCUUGGAUGGCGGACACGUGGUGUGAUCGGACGGUUGUGCAAGCGACUUUUGGGCUCUCACUCAGGCCUUCUAUAAAUACCCCUUUCGCUAUUUACUUUUUAAUUUUUCACUCUGAGUAAAUUUUUCUCGCAAUCGUCGGUAUCAGGUUAGAGCUCGAGAACUUAAUGCUCAGCCUCGAGCUCAGGAUAAUCCGACGUUAUUUAGAUAUCCCGAUCAACCCUAUAGGUUUAAGGAACACCUAGCGAUAUCGAUGGCUAGGGAAUAUGACCUUAUGCCAAGUUGCGAUAUUAGGCAUCCCGAGGAUGGGGAUAGGAUGGCUUUAGCUCGG
rnacentral:lncRNA from 1 species